rnacentral:rRNA from 1 species
ACGAACGCUGGCGGCGUGCUUAACACAUGCAAGUCGAACGGAAAGGCCCUGCUUUUGUGGGGUGCUCGAGUGGCGAACGGGUGAGUAACACGUGAGUAACCUGCCCUUGACUUUGGGAUAACUUCAGGAAACUGGGGCUAAUACCGGAUAGGAGCUCCUGCUGCAUGGUGGGGGUUGGAAAGUUUCGGCGGUUGGGGAUGGACUCGCGGCUUAUCAGCUUGUUGGUGGGGUAGUGGCUUACCAAGGCUUUGACGGGUAGCCGGCCUGAGAGGGUGACCGGCCACAUUGGGACUGAGAUACGGCCCAGACUCCUACGGGAGGCAGCAGUGGGGAAUAUUGCACAAUGGGCGGAAGCCUGAUGCAGCAACGCCGCGUGCGGGAUGACGACCUUCGGGUUGUAAACCGCUUUCGCCUGUGACGAAGCGUGAGUGACGGUAAUGGGGAAAGAAGCACCGGCUAACUACGU